rnacentral:tRNA from 1 species
GAGGGUGUAGCUCAAGUGGCAGAGUGCAUGCUUAGCAUGCACAAGGCCCUGGGUUCAAUUCCCAGUACCUCCU